ACAGCAAUAACGUCACGGGCAAAGUGCGGGCGCGUCCUGAUGACACUGUGUAGAGAGGACACGGAAACUGAGCGAGUAGCUGCAAACUAAUGAGGCGAUUAACGUACACAACAACAGCAAGGGACCCAGGACUGAACCUUGUGGUAUUCCAAUGGACACAGACUUCCAGAUGCAAAACACACCAUUCAACUAGUAAUCUCUGCUUCGUGCCACUGCGCCAGUUUGCAAUCCUAUGUUCCAAAAUUGCUUUUGAUCCCAUGAGCUCUUAGCUUCUUAACCAGUCUGCUAUGCAAGACCUUGUAAAAAGCCUCACUGAAAUACAUGUAGACUACACCAACUGUCACUACCACCAUUUACACAUUUAGUCACCUCGUUGAAAAAUUCAAAUUUAUUUGACAUCAUCUGUCCUUUCCAAAGCCAUACUGAGUAUUCUUGAUUAAUCCUUGCCUCUCUGAGUUGAGAUUAAUUAUGUCCCUCAGACUUUUUACCAAUAGUUUUCCUAUCAUUUAUGAUAGAUUCCCUGACCUGCAGUUUUCUGGUUUAUCCCUACCACCCUUCUUUAAAAACUUUACCUCUUUAGCUGUCCUUCAGUCCUCUGGCAUCCCUCCAAUGGCCAGAGAUCAUUUGAAACUUAAUGUUAAGAGCCCCCUAAAAUCUCUUCCCUUGCCUUCCAAGCAGUGUGGGAUACAUCUCAACUGUCCCUGGAGUUUUAUCCACUUACUGUCUAAUAAAUCUCCUCUCUCUCAAUGCUAAUUUGUUCAAGCAUAUGCUGUAAGAGUCAGCCAGUCAGGUCCAGAGGAGCUUGGAAUGGGAACGACUCAUAGCAGGGCAUCUGCUGCUGUAUCAUCACAUAAACAAUGGCCCAGAUUUUCCGAUUGCCAGACAUCGUUAUUCUAGGGUAGGUGUGAUUGGGCAUCAGGACACUGUGGAAUCCCCAUUGUAGCAGACUCUGAAGGAUCUGCCUGGAAAAGUGGAGAUUCCACUGGGCAAUUCUCCUAUGCUUAGAACCCUCUGAAAGUCUCCAUUUAAAUCAGAGAAUUCAGAGAGUUCUGAUGAAACGAAGUAAAUAGUUACUCAGGAAAAGUUAAACUAUUAGAAACGUAGUCUUACUCCUGAGCAACUAAUCAACUAACCCCACACUUCCCUCACACACCGCACACCUUCCCCAAGGCCCAUUGGUUCAAGAAGCCUUGGGGUCUGGCCUCAGUUUAUAUGAAGAAAUAAAAGAAUCCGUACUAAAACAAAGUAAUUAAUGAAAAGAUUACUAGCUACAAUAAUGCAAAUACUACAGGAGGAAAGAUGAUUUCCAAUGCUGUAAAAUUCUGUGUAACCAUAUUUCUUCACGUAUAUUGGAUAGAUAAAAAUAUGAAGCCUUCAUACAUGCCAUCCAUAAGCAUUUGAGUGCUAUUUCAGGAUGAGCUAACAAAAUUCAGAACUCUCCCUUUCGUCCUGUUUAUACCCAUAUCAAAUUCCCUCUUCCGUCCACCAUACACAUAACAUAAAUAGUGUGAUUCAAGAUGGCAGAAGCGAUAGGGUAGGGGGUAUUCGGGGUAUCGGGCCCAUCCGCUCCUUUUCACGUGACCAGCUGCAUCUUGUUUAGUUUAAAUUUUCUUUAUUCUUGAAUCAAAUUCAUCUGUUCUUCAUUCUACGGCUGCAGUGGUGGAGAGAGGUUGCGGGUGAUGGAUCCAAUCCAUUUCUUGUGGCCGUGACGAUCACGGCUUGAGCAGCUGUUCGAUGAGUUGUGGUCCGUUCUUUUGCUCUAAUGUUCCGGCAGCAUCUGCAGCGGUGGCAGAGUGAAUAAUCUCUUGGUCCGUGGAAGGUGAUUUGAACGGUUGGUCUGUUCUUGGGGUUUGACAUGGUCCCCAAUCCUCGAGAGUUGGGACAGUCUCCUGGCCAUGGUGACAGCCGGAGUGUUGGCGGCGAUGAGGUGGCUUUGGCAGAGACGAGGUGCUGGGACUGGUCAGCGGCAGCGGGAGCUGCUGCAGUGUGCUCCCACCUUGGUGUUGCGGCCUCAGGGACAUCUUUGGCGGCUGCAUGCUACGGCAGCGUCCUACAGCCACAUAGGAAAUCAAGAAGCCAUGGAUGGAACAAAAAUGUGAAAUUUUUCCUAACUAUGUAUGAUUUAUUUCUUCUUAUAAUUUAUACAAUUAAAAUGGUGCCAAAGUAUAGCGAAUUA